rnacentral:rRNA from 1 species
GACGAACGCUGGCGGCGUGCUUAACACAUGCAAGUCGAACGGAAAGGCCCUGCUUUUGUGGGGUUCUCGAGUGGCGAACGGGUGAGUAACACGUGAGUAACCUGCCCUUGACUUUGUGAUAACUUCUGGAAACUGGGGCUAAUACCUGAUAGGAGCUCCUGCUGCAUGGUGUGGGUUGGUAAGUUUCGGCGGUUGGGGAUGGACUCGCGGCUUAUCUGCUUGUUGGUGGGGUAGUGGCUUACCAAGGCUUUGACGGGUAGCCGGCCUGAGAGGGUGACCGGCGACAUUGGGACUGAGAGACGGCCCAGACUCCAACGGGAGGCAGCAGUGGGGAAUAUUGCAAAAUGGGCGGAAGCCAGAUGCAGCAACGCCGCGUGCGGGAUGACGGCCUUCGGGUUGUAAACCGAUUUCGCCUGUGACGAAGAGUGAGUGACGGUAAUGGGUAAAGAAGCACCGGCUAACUACGUG